rnacentral:rRNA from 1 species
ACGGCUACCACAUCUAAGGAAGGCAGCAGGCGCGCAAAUUACCCAAUUCUAACAGCAUAAGAGAGGUAGUGACAAGAAAUAACAAUACAAGGCAGUUAAAAUGCUUUGUAAUUGGAAUGAUAGAAAUUUAAACACUUUUUAAAGUAUCAAUUGGAGGGCAAGUCUGGUGCCAGCAGCCGCGGUAAUUCCAGCUCCAAUAGCGUAUAUUAAAAUUGUUGCAGUUAAAAAGCUCGUAGUUGAAUUUCUGUUAAAAAUAACCGGUCUGCUUUUAACAAAAGUGGUAUCUUGGUGUGUUUUUAGCAAUAAUGUCCUUUGAAAUGUGUUUUACUUUGUUGUAAAAAACAAUAUUCAGGAUUUUUACUUUGAGAAAAUUAGAGUGUUUCUAGCAAGCUAAUGUUUUGAAUACUGCAGCAUGGAAUAAUAAAAUAGAAUUUUAGUUCUACAUUGUUGGUUUUAAGAGCUGAAUUAAUGAUUGAUAGGGACAGUUGGGGGCAUUUGUAUUUAACUGUCAGAGGUGAAAU